GACCCGUCUUGAACCACGGAGUCUAGCAUGUGUGCGAGUCAUUGAGUUAUGUAUAAACUGAAAGGCGUAACGAAAGUGAAGGCGCGCGCUAGCCGCGCGCUCAGGGAGGAUGGAGCGUCGGUCGUUCGAUCGGCCUCUCGCACUCCCGAGGCGUCUCGUUUCCAAUCUGUGAAUGUAGGCGCGCUCUGAGCAGAGAUGCUGGGACCCGAAAGAUGGUGAACUAUGCCUGGUCAGGUCGAAGUCAGGGGAAACCCUGAUGGAGGACCGUAGCGAUUCUGACGUGCAAAUCGAUCGUCGGAACUGGGUAUAGGGGCGAAAGACUAAUCGAACCAUCUAGUAGCUGGUUCCUUCCGA
rnacentral:rRNA from 1 species